rnacentral:rRNA from 1 species
UGCGAAGGGGGCUAGCGUUGUUCGGAAUUACUGGGCGUAAAGCGCGCGCAGGCGGCUUUUCAAGUCAGGGGUGAACUCCCAGAGCUCAACUCUGGAAUUGCCUUUGAGACUGGGAAGCUUCGAGUACGGGAGAGGUGAGUGGAAUUCCCAGUGUAGAGGUGAAAUGCGUAGAUAUUGGGAAGAACACCAGUGGCGAAGGCGGCUCACUGGCCCGUUACUGACGCUCAGGCGCGACAGCGUGGGGAUCAAACAGG